rnacentral:tRNA from 1 species
GGAGAAGUACUCAAGUUGGCUGAAGAGGCGCCCCUGCUAAGGGUGUAGGUCGGUAAUCCCGGCGCGAGGGUUCAAAUCCCUCCUUCUCCG